AGUUAACGCUGGCGGUAGGCCUAACACAUGCAAGUCGAACGGCAGCACAGUAAGAGCUUGCUCUUACGGGUGGCGAGUGGCGGACGGGUGAGGAAUACAUCGGAAUCUACUUUUUCGUGGGGGAUAACGUAGGGAAACUUACGCUAAUACCGCAUACGACCUACGGGUGAAAGCAGAGGAUCUUCGGACCUUGCGCGAUUGAAUGAGCCGAUGUCGGAUUAGCUAGUUGGCGGGGUAAAGGCCCACCAAGGCGACGAUCCGUAGCUGGUCUGAGAGGAUGAUCAGCCACACUGGAACUGAGACACGGUCCAGACUCCUACGGGAGGCAGCAGUGGGGAAUAUUGGGCAAUGGGCGCAAGCCUGAUCCAGCCAUACCGCGUGGGUGAAGAAGGCCUUCGGGUUGUAAAGCCCUUUUGUUGGGAAAGAAAAGCAGCAGGUUAAUACCCCGCUGUUCUGACGGUACCCAAAGAAUAAGCACCGGCUAACUUCGUG
rnacentral:rRNA from 1 species